ACGAGCCAAACUAUGAGCAUCCAUUACAAUCAUAGCAUUUCUCACAUCAUCGUAUAAAUUACGUGAAUGUGCACCUCAUUCAUACAAUUUCUGUAUUUUUCUUUUUAUGAGUACAAAUUCGGGGUAGAGGGAUUUAAACCCGAGACCUCUUGGUUCUAAGUACAUACAUACAGGCGUUAGUUGAGCUUGGUUGACAAUUUCUAUACUUUUUUAAGUAACAAAUAAUUGGAGAAAUUUUGUGGCUAUAUUUAUGAUUUUUCUCAAAGAACUUAAGGAUCUUUAUUUCCAUUUCUAUAUAUUGUGGGAAUUUUUGCAGACAUUGAUAUGGGUGAAACAAAGAAAGUAAGCGAACAAACUAAUAUUGGACAGUUGGAGUUCAGCCCUGCACGACCCUUUGACAAAGCCCUUCCCUCACUUCUAGCCACCAUUGUCCAUUGUUCACACCUAACACAACCUAGUGGUAGCAUGUCACUUCCUCCUUGCCAGCCAGUUCACCCCAGCCUGUAGGUCAGUCAGCCUGUUAUAAAAGAAAAAAGUCAAUUUUUAUGUUCUCCCCCAACCGACAGUGAGCUUCACGGUGACAUCUAUCCUAAUCUACACUGACUUUCACCCUACUUCGACCACAACCAGACUUUCAUAGUUAAUAGGGUGGUAAUUUUGCUGGUUUCGACAUUAUGUACAUGCAUGAGUUUAAUCACCCCUCCCUCCUCUUUUCCUUUUCAGUUAUGAGAUUAAAGUGAGGGAAUGACAAGAGAAGAUCAUGAACCAACGAAAAUUACAGAUGUGUUGAAAUUUGUUGUCAGAAUCUGUUUGAAUGAUGAACUUCAUGCAUACAAUUGUUGUGGUUGUCACAACUGGAAUCUAUUAAACAAAAUCAAAUACUUGAUAAUAACUACCUCUCCACACUGUUAUGUUUCUUGUUUUUUCGUUUUCAAUAAUUUGAUCGGUUUUAGACUUUUGGUUUAUUUUCAAUUAGAAGUAAAUGAAUGAAGGAAAAAGAUAACAGAAAAAGUUGAUUUUACUUUUACUAUCAUUUUCCUAUGCUUUUUAGUUUAUGGGGAUAGAUAUUUGUUGGUGUUCCUUUUCUUAAGUUAGAAGAAAAAAAGUUGGGGCAUAACUUUACAUGGACAAUCAAGUCAUUUUUUUUUCUUAA